GACGAACGCUGGCGGCGUGCCUAAUACAUGCAAGUUGAGCGCUGAAGGUUGGUACUUAUCCCAACUGGAUGAGCAGCGAACGGGUGAGUAACGCGUGGGGAAUCUGCCUUUGAGCGGGGGACAACAUUUGGAAACGAAUGCUAAUACCGCAUAAAAACUUUAAACACAAGUUUUAAGUUUGAAAGAUGCAAUUGCAUCACUCAAAGAUGAUCCCGCGUUGUAUUAGCUAGUUGGUGAGGUAAAGGCUCACCAAGGCGAUGAUACAUAGCCGACCUGAGAGGGUGAUCGGCCACAUUGGGACUGAGACACGGCCCAAACUCCUACGGGAGGCAGCAGUAGGGAAUCUUCGGCAAUGGAAGAAAGUCUGACCGAGCAACGCCGCGUGAGUGAAGAAGGUUUUCGGAUCGUAAAACUCUGUUGGUAGAGAAGAACGUUGGUGAGAGUGGAAAGCUCAUCAAGUGACGGUAACUACCCAGAAAGGGACGGCUAACUACGUG
rnacentral:rRNA from 1 species